GUAGGUGGCAAGCGUUGUCCGGAAUUAUUGGGCGUAAAGCGCGCGCAGGCGGUCCUUUAAGUCUGAUGUGAAAGCCCACGGCUCAACCGUGGAGGGUCAUUGGAAACUGGGGGACUUGAGUACAGAAGAGGAAAGCGGAAUUCCAAGUGUAGCGGUGAAAUGCGUAGGGAUUUGGAGGAACACCAGUGGCGAAGGCGGCUUUCUGGUCUGUAACUGACGCUGAGGCGCGAAAGCGUGGGGAGCAAACAGGAUUAGAUACCCUGGUAGUCCACGCCGUAAACGAUGAGUGCUAAGUGUUAGGGGGUUUCCCGCCCCCUUAGUGCUGCAGCUAACGCAUUAAGCACUCCGCCUGGGGGAGUACGGCCGCAAGGCUG
rnacentral:rRNA from 1 species